rnacentral:tRNA from 1 species
GCCUCUGUGGCGGAAUUGGUAGACGCGUCAGACUCAAAAUCUGAUGUCCAUUACGGAUGUGCUGGUUCGAUUCCAGUCGGAGGCACCA